rnacentral:rRNA from 1 species
GAUGAACGCUAGCUACAGGCUUAACACAUGCAAGUCGAGGGGCAGCAUGGUCUUAGCUUGCUAAGGCCGAUGGCGACCGGCGCACGGGUGAGUAACACGUAUCCAACCUGCCGUCUACUCUUGGACAGCCUUCUGAAAGGAAGAUUAAUACAAGAUGGCAUCAUGAGUCCGCAUGUUCACAUGAUUAAAGGUAUUCCGGUAGACGAUGGGGAUGCGUUCCAUUAGAUAGUAGGCGGGGUAACGGCCCACCUAGUCUUCGAUGGAUAGGGGUUCUGAGAGGAAGGUCCCCCACAUUGGAACUGAGACACGGUCCAAACGCCUACGGGAGGCAGCAGUGAGGAAUAUUGGUCAAUGGGCGAGAGCCUGAACCAGCCAAGUAGCGUGAAGGAUGACUGCCCUAUGGGUUGUAAACUUCUUUUAUAAAGGGAUAAAGUCGGGUAUGGAUACCCGUUUGCAUGUACUUUAUGAAUAAGGAUCGGCUAACUCCGUG